rnacentral:ncRNA from 1 species
CAAGAAGCGUUGAAGGGGAAAGUAAAAAGACAAAAAGCGUUAAACAGAAAAGCUUACAGGCCAAAAGGUUUUAAGCAAAUGUCUUUUGAAAAAUCCCACCCCGGAGCUUACGGCGAUGAGCCGGUACGGAGCACCUACCGUUAGUAGGGGGAAGGUAUAAUCUUGAUAAAAUUCAAGUAUACUUUAGAGUGGGUCUUUUAGACCAAUGAAGGUGGUACCGCGGAAAGCAACCUUUCGCCCUUUAC